rnacentral:rRNA from 1 species
GACGAACGCUGGCGGCGUGCCUAAUACAUGCAAGUCGAGCGCUGAAGCGUGGUACUUGUACCAACUGGGUGAGCAGCGGACGGGUGAGUAACGCGUGGGGAAUCUGCCUUUGAGCGGGGGACAACAUCUGGAAACGAAUGCUAAUACCGCAUAAAAACUUUAAACACAAGUUUCAAGUGUGAAAGAUGCAAUUGCAUCACUCAAAGAUGAUACCCGGUGGUAUUAGUUAGUUGGUAAGGUAAAGGCCCACCAAGGCGAUGAUAGGUAGCCGACCUGAGAGGUUGACCGCCAACAUGGGACUGGGGACCCGCUCCAGCCUCCUAGGGGAGGAGCCAGAGGGGAAUUUUGGACAAUGAGCGAAAGCUUGACGGAGAACGCCGGGGUGGGGGAGGAAGUUCUCCGGUCGGAAAACUCCGUUUGUAGGGAAGGAAGUUGGGGAGAGUGAAAAGCUCAUCAAGUGACGGUAACUACCCAGAAAGCGACGGCUAACUACGUG